GGAGCAAACAGGAUUAGAUACCCUGGUAGUCCACGCCCUAAACGAUGCACACUAGUUGUUGUGAGGCUAGACCUUGCAGUAAUGCAGUUAACACAUUAAGUGUGCCGCCUGGGGAGUACGGUCGCAAGAUUAAAACUCAAAGGAAUAGACGGGGACCCGCACAAGCGGUGGAGCAUGUGGUUUAAUUCGACGAUACACGAAGGACCUUACCUGGACUUGACAUAGUAAGAACUUUCUAGAGAUAGAUUGGUGUCUGCUUGCAGAAACUUAUAUACAGGUGCUGCACGGCUGUCGUCAGCUCGUGUCGUGAGAUGUUGGGUUAAGUCCCGCAACGAGCGCAACCCUCGUCCUUAGUUGCUAACAGUUCGGCUGAGAACUCUAAACAGACUGCCUACGCAAGUAGGAGGAAGGUGAGGACGACGUCAAGUCAUCAUGGCCCUUACGUCCAGGGCUACACACGUGCUACAAUGGGAUAUACAAAGAGCCGCAAUACGGUGACGUGGAGCAAAUCUUAUAAAAUAUCUCCCAGUUCGGAUUGUAGUCUGCAACUCGACUACAUGAAGUUGGAAUCGCUAGUAAUCGUAGAUCAGCUAUGCUACGGUGAAUACGUUCCCGGGUCUUGUACUCACCGCCCGUCACACCAUGGGAGUCGAACUCAUUCGAAGCGGGGAUGCUAAAAUAGCUACCUUCCA
rnacentral:rRNA from 1 species